rnacentral:rRNA from 1 species
AGCGAACGCUGGCGGCAGGCCUAACACAUGCAAGUCGAACGGAUCCUUCGGGAUUAGUGGCGGACGGGUGAGUAACACGUGGGAACGUGCCCUUUGGUUCGGAACAACUCAGGGAAACUUGAGCUAAUACCGGAUGUGACCUUGGGGGGAAAGAUUUAUCGCCAUUGGAGCGGCCCGCGUCUGAUUAGCUAGUUGGUGGGGUAAAGGCCCACCAAGGCGACGAUCAGUAGCCGGUCUGAGAGGAUGAUCAGCCACAUUGGGACUGAGACACGGCCCAAACUCCUACGGGAGGCAGCAGUGGGGAAUCUUGCGCAAUGGGCGAAAGCCUGACGCAGCCAUGCCGCGUGAAUGAUGAAGGUCUUAGGAUUGUAAAAUUCUUUCACCGGGGACGAUAAUGACGGUACCCGGAGAAGAAGCCCCGGCUAACUUCGUGCCAGCCGCCGCCGUAA